UACGUAGGGGGCAAGCGUUAUCCGGAAUUACUGGGUGUAAAGGGAGCGUAGGCGGCAUGGUAAGCCAGAUGUGAAAGCCCGGGGCUUAACUCCGAGGAUUGCAUUUGGAACUAUCAAGCUAGAGUACAGGAGAGGAAAGCGGAAUUCCUAGUGUAGCGGUGAAAUGCAUAGAUAUCACGCAGAACUCCGAUUGCGAAGGCAGCUUACUAAACCAUAACUGACACUGAAGCACGAAAGCGUGGGGAUCAAACAGG
rnacentral:rRNA from 1 species